AUCCCUAAUAUUUAUCCCUUAUCAUUAUACUAUCUUGUUAUUUGUCAACGAAGUCUCGUUCCUUUCUCUCUACUUGAAAAUUUGUAAAUAUGUAAAUGAAGAAUUAAUACCUUUGUUACACAUAAUUAUAAAUGAAAGAAAUUAAAGGACAGGUAGGGACGCACGUGUGAAAGAGUUUACGCAAAGUGUUACGUGUGCAUGCGGUGCGCUCCGAUUUGAUUGAUGCGCGGAAAGUUAACGGGAAGAGACAAACAGCCGAAUCUGUUACGUGAAACGGGCCUCCCAAGCUUGCUUCUUCUCAGAGAUUGCCUCCUAGAUAACUAUACGUACACAUUUUUUUUUUUUCUUUCGUUCUGUACGAAAGAACCGCAACCGCAUGUUUACGGCGCCGUAAAUUUCGUCUCCCAGUGCCAUUUCGACUGGACGACAUCGGAAACGCGUGAGCCUGUACAUUUAAUAGCUUCGUGAUCGUUAUUUCGGUCAAGGAACUUUGAGAUUGAUCAUUUAUGAACAACAGGUGCUUUUUGGUACAUUAGAAUUGAUUUUGGGGUAAUAAAUCUGAAAAUGGUACUUUUAUAUUAGCAGAAUUAUUUAUUCUUUAUAAGGUACAUAAAAUUAAUAAAAUUUGCAAUCAUCAAAGUGUUAGAAAAAUAAUAAAAUAAUUCAUUUGUUUCCUUUAUUAAUCAUUAGAAUCUAUUUAUAUACGUAUUUUCAUGUCUGAUUUAAAUUUUUCUCAUGUAAUUAUUUAUUAUUAUUUACUUCGUUACAAAAGGCUAGAAGGAAAUUGAAAAACAAAAUGUCUGGUUAGAAAGGAUUGACUUAAUUCAACGAAUGUUGUUUUUAAUUUUUAAUUCACAUUCCAGAAUGUAAUUUCAUCUUUUGAUUAAAUUAUCCGCGGUCUCUAGAGGCAUAGUUUAAAAGAGAAGUCGGAAUUGAAAAAGUUAGAUAGAAUACCGUUUUCAUGGGGCGUAUUAAAGGGAUUUAAGUUAACAUUUCGAUAUGAAAUGCAUUCUGCAGAUUAUACCCAGUUCCUUCCUAUGGAAACCUCGUAAAAAUUUUACGUUGUCAUUUGAAUUGCGAAAAAAUAACAAUCAACUUUCUAGAAAUUUAUUAAGAUAUAAUAAACAAAUAAAUAAUUCAGAAAUGCAAAAUUGCAUUAUUUCAAGGAUAUAAAAAUCAGCAACAUAUCAUUUUAUGUUUAUCAAAAUUUCAACCAUUUAUUGACAAUUUUUGUCUUCUCCUCUACGGACAAUUUUUAAUCAAAGAAAUCAUUAAAGCGCCGUCAAAGGGUAAAACGUUCAAGCACGAAGGAAGGAAACGUUAGAAGUCGAUCACUCACCGUGCAAAAUCCAGCGAUCAGGACGGUCCACAUCUUUCUUAUCGUUGCACUUAAUUGCAAGGGGGAUAACACGCGAGAACACAGUUGCAAGGCUGCAAGGGAUCACACGAAGAGGGAUGCAAUUUUCACGAAGAUUUCCGGUGAACUGAGGCGCGUGUACCACGCAAGAAUUCUCCCUCCGUGGUUGAUGUUCCUCCAACGGGUACACGUCUCCUGGAGGGGAGAAACGGAAAUCAGGGAACCAGAGAACCACCGGCCCAUCCAGAGUACUGUUAAUGCAUGCUUGCUGCCUCCGCUAACAACCAUCCUUACCGCGUCCUCUUCGCGACCAGUGACGGCCUCGAACGGACACUGUUCUAUUAUUUUCCAUUUUUCAAGAUAAGUUGAACACCUACUUUUUCUUUUCACCAGAAAUAGGUAUUAAUAUUUUAUUUCUGAGAAAUUAACAUUGAUGAAAGUCCAAUUUUCAAGAGAUUAAUUAAUUGUUAGCCAAAAGUUAAUUGUAUAAGUUUUAAACGUAAGCGUUUCAUAUGUUAGAAAAAUCAUUUUUAAAGAUUAGAAAAUUAAAGUAAUAUGAAAUAUAAAAUUACAUUAAAAUUUGGACUCUCUUCAUGGUUCGCUGUCCGAGGGUUAAGUACUGUUAAAGGGUUGGAUUUGACCAUUGGUGUAAUAAGGUAAGAGCAAGGAUAGGCUUUCCUUAUUAAAAAUUAUUUUAUUACAAUAAAAAUAUUUGAUUAUUUAAAAAUUUUUUUAUCGCUACUAUUUAUGGUAAGACUGUGAUUGAUUGAAUUUUAUUGAAUUACAGUUAGUAUCUUCUAAAUAGAAAAUUGUAUUGAGAACAAUUAGAAAGAUAAUAUUAUAGGCGGAAGUUUUAUAGAAAAUUAUAUGAAUCGAGUUUGAAGGCAACGAUCCACAACUAAUAGUUGAUAAAAGGAAUUAUAAAAUAUUAUUAAGCUCUUGAUUAUCCCUUUUCUAGAGUCUUUAUUAUCUAAUAUAAGAAUUAAAUUAAUUUCAAAUAUUCUAUGAAUUGCAUAUAUUUCAAAAUUAAUUCUCCUAUUAUAUUUUUGAUCUUAAAACAAUUUUUCUAACAUAUUUUAUUUCUUUUUCAGGUGAUCAAGGAGUGUUGAUCAUCCUGGCCGAGGAAAGCAGACUGAGUUAUGGAUGUAACAAUGUGUUUGAGCGCCCUUAGCGCGUUCCCAUUCUGGAAGGGGAACACGAGACUCGUCUGGGUGGGCGAAUGCGACCCUCAAUAACUAAAGUUUUGACCUGGCCCUAGGUCAACUGCCAGGGUAUCCAAGUGGUGACUGAGACACCACUUAAGACUUUUAGAUUUACAGCGAGUGACUGCCUAUUGUUACUUACUUUUUAACAUCACGAGCACCAUCCGAAGUCAGGACACUCAGGAUGGCACAAAUGACCAGGUUGAGAAAAACCAGCAGUCCCCGCCAUAAAUCCAAGCCCUAGUGUAAACUUCGACACAUUUCAAUUUUAUCAUAUUUAUUAUUGCAACUUUUGUAAAUUUUCUGUGAAAAUUAUCAUUUUACUUCGAAUGAUCUAUUCAUCUGAAAAAUAUUUUAAUCUAGAUCUAAGAUUGUAAAGAUUGUUAUUAAUUACAUAUUCUGUUCAUUGAAACACAUGUUUAUGGAUUUCAAUCCAUACAUUUGCAGGAAUUUCUUUGGCUACUGUGUAGAAAUAAAAGAUACAAACAAUAGAAUGAUGAAAAGUUCAGUGGAACAAUAGACAAGCUACCCAGAUAAAUGUGUGUUUCGAAAGAAAAUCCAUAGAAAUUUUUAUAACCGUGUCGUGAACUAUUUUCAAAGAAUGAUGAAUGCUUGAUGAAUGCUAUGGUUCAGUGGUGCAUUAUUUUUGUAAAAUAUCUUGGUCAUAAAAUUCGAAUAAAUAAUAGUAGAAUUUAUUUAUCACUUUA